AUAUAUUACAAUUCAUGUAUGAUAUGCAUAUAAGUGUAUAUGAUUUAUGUGUACAGUUGAAAAAAAUAGGUCAAAUUCAUCGGUAGCCCCUCAAACUUGUCCGUAAACUAAGGCUUGUACUUAUUAAACCCCUAAACCCCCUCAAUUUGGUUCCAAUUGAGCAUUUUUUGCCCACAUCUCAUCAACUUCCAGGUGCGUCUCCAAACGCUGCUUAUGUGGAAAGUUAUUCCACUUUAAACCCUUCACGUGUAUAAACUAACUCCACAUAUACUUAAUACAUUUUAAUUUUAAAUGGACAAAAUCUCAUUCCAUGGAAGUUUUCUCUCUCUCUCCCCGUUAACUCUCUCUCUCUUCAUAACCCUAAAUUAACCAAAUUUUCACUCAAAUUAAAGGACAAAUUUGGGGGUUUUCCUCAGAUCUUCCUGGUGUAAGUGUUCUUAUGAUUUGUAUUUGUUAAAUUUUGUUGAAUUUUAGCAUAUUGUAGUUUUUAGGGUUUUGAAAUCACUGUUACGCAUAUGAUUUUAGGAAUAUUCUGUCGCCUUACUUAACAUGCAUUAAAGGUUGUAUCUUUUAGCUUACUGAUGUGUACUCUGGGUAUAUUUCGUGGCCAUUUCGUUAAGUAACUUUGAAUUUUUACCCUUUAUCACAGGUGACGUAAUAAAUGGAGAUAAUUUUUACAAAAUUGCACCAUGGGGGAUCCUUUUUCAAUACGGAUGUCCCUACAUAUGUUACAAGUUGUGUGCCAGAGGUAAGGUACAUUGACAAGGACCACUUUUCCAUACUAGAAUUGUUAUUUUAUACUAAAGAAUUAGGGUAUGAAGCUGUUAGGGGGUUUUAUUAUCAAGAUGCAGUAUCUAAUCAGUUCAAGUUGGUUAAAAGUGACAGACAUCUCUAUGAACUGGUUAAAAAUUUAAAACAUGAGGACUCUAUUGAUUUUUCUGUCUAUCAGGUUUUAGAUGAACCAAUUCUUGACCCUGAUGGUCCCACUGAUUUUUUACCUGCACCUGAUAUUAUUGAGUGUGCCAACCUAAAAAGAGAAAAUGUUGGUGUUGUUGAUAGUGCUAACAUAGAGAGGAAAUCUAUUAGAGUAGAGGAAGAGAGGGAGGCUGAUGUAGAAGAUGUUGGUGUAUAAGAAGAUGAUGAGGCUGAUGUAGAAGAUGUUGGUGUACAAGGAGGUGAUGAGGCUGAUGUAGAAGAUGUUUGUGUACAAGGAGGUGAUGCGGCUGAUGUAGAAGAAAUUCAUAUAGAAGAUAUUAACUUAGAAAAUUUUGGUGUAGAAGGAGGUGAUGAGGUUGAUGUAGAAGACAUUAAUGUAGAAGAUGUUAAUAGGCUAACAAGUAAGUUAUCAGAUUAUUUGAGUAGUGAUUCAAAUCUUGAAGAUAUUCCUUCAGAAGAUGGCUCAGAUGUUGAUGAGGAGUUGAGGGCUUUUAGACAAGAAAGAAGGGAAAAAAAACCAACAACAAAGAAAGAAACAAAAAAGCAAGAAAAAAGGCUGUUGAAACUAAAGAAGUACCUGCGAGAGUUGCUGGUUGUGUAGAUAGAGGCUUUGGGGAUAUUGGUAAAAGUAAGGCUACCAAAUAUUCUGGAAAGUUGGGUGGAGAUAAGGAAUAUAUUGAUAGUUCUGAUUGUUGGAGUGAAGAUAGUGAAGAGAUAGAUGUAGAUGCUGUUAGAGGAGUAGAUCUACCUAGAAGAAGGAGAUGUAAGAAAACUAAGUAUGAUGAAAAUUGUGAGUUUUCUGUGUUUGAGCUUGGAAUGAUUUUUGCGGGUGCAAAUCAGUUUAGAAAAGCUGUUGCAGAUUAUGCUGUAAAGUAUAGAAGGCAGGUGAAGUUAAAACCUAAUGAAAAACAUAGAAUAAGGGUGACGUGCAUUGCAGCUAAUUGCAACUGGUUGUUGUUUGCUUGUACUGAUAGGGAUUCAGGUGAUUUUAUUGUUAAGAACUAUAACCCUAUUCACAAAUGUAUACCUCUAAACAAGAAUAAGAUGUGUGAUUCAAAGCUGGUUGCUAGAAAGUCCAAGGACAGAAUAGCUUCUCAGCCAUACAUUAGGAUUUGGGAAAUUCAGAAUUUAGUAAGAGAGAUGUUGGGUCUUUAUGUAGGUAAAACUAUUUGUUAUAGGGAUAAAUAGAUUGUUAUGAGGGAGAAUAUGGGAGAUUGAAAGCUGGAAUUUGCCAGAUUAUGUGACUAUGUAGAUAUGAUCAAGACAACAAAUCUUGAAAGUUCUUGUUGGAUAAAAAUUGACAAAGAAACUGAACCAGGAAAGAACCUCUUUGUUUAUUUCUAUGUGUGCUUUCAUGCCUUCAAGCAAGGAUGGUUAGAUGGGUGUAGAAAAAUUAUUGGUUUUGAUGGAUGCUUUCUCAAAUGAGCUUGUAAGGGUGAGUUUUUGGUUGCUGUGGGGAAAAAUGACAACAACCAAAUAUAUCCUAUUGCAUUGGCAGUUGUGGAUACUGAAACAAAAUAUAGCUGGGACUGGUUCAUAAGGUAUCUGAUUGCAGAUCUAAAUCUGGGAACUGGUGAAGGCUUGACUGUAAUGUCAGACCAACAAAAGGGUCUUGUUCCUAUUUUGAUGUAUCUGCUACCAAAUGCUGAGAGAAGAUUGUGUGCUAGACAUAUUUGGAGCAAUUGACAUGUGCACUGGAGAGGAGAAGAGAGAAGGAAACAAUUUUGGAGAUGUGCAAAAGCAAGUUUUGGAGAUGUAAACAAUGUCAAGGCUAGGUAAGAAAGAAAUAACUGAGGACAUGCUGGUUAAUCCUCCCACUUCGUGGUGUAGGACAUAUUUCAAAACACAUUCCAAAUGUGAUAUUGUAGAAAAUAACAUGUGUGAGACUUUCAAUUCUUGGAUCUUAGCUGCUAGACGUAAGUCCAUAAUCACAAUGUUAGAGGAUAUCAGACAUCAACUGAUGAAUAGAUAUGUAGAUAUGAUUAAAUUUGCAGAAACAUGGAUUUCAGAUAUUUUACCUAUGGCAAGAACUAUUUUAGAAGCUAACAAGGAAUAUUCAAAUAGGUGUAGAGUUCUAUGCAAUGGAGUUAAUGAUUUUGAAAUUGAGGAUGGGGGUUACACAUUUGUUGUUCACUUGGACAAGAAGUAUUGUGAUUGUAGGUUAUGAAUGUUAAGAGGUAUUCCUUGUCCUCAUGCCACUUGUGCUUAUUAUUACUUGAAUGUAGAUCCUGAUCAGCAUGUAGAGCACUGGUAUAAGAAAGAAACCUUUCUUAAGUCUUAUAGUCAUUUCAUUCAACUAAUUACCAAUAUGAGAAUGUGGUCGGAAACCAAAAACGCAUCAAUUGAACCUCCAAAACCAAAAAAGAUGCUAGGCAGACCUGGCAAGAACAGAAGAAAGAAGAAGGAUGAGCCAAAAAAGUGGGGCAAACUCUCAAAAAACGGUGUCAAGAUCACUUGUUCAAGGUGCAAGCAAGUUGGCCAUAACAAGACUGUAUGUGCCAAAAUGAAUGGGAUGGGGAGCAGUAAUAGUAGUCAACCUAGCUGUCAGCCUGAAGCUUUAUGGAAUCCACCACCACCACAAUCAAGUUCUAUUUGUGGUGACACCAGUGCAAUGGCAAGACAUACCUACACUCAAAGUCAGACAACAAGAUCAAACUUCACCUUUCAUACAUAUGCAACUACAUAAUCCAGUCAAUCAGGAUCUAUUUGUGCUGACAUGGCUGCUGUGCCAAGAGCACCUCAAAGAAAGGUGUCAAGUGUGGCUGGUAGAGGUCAAGGUGCUGCCGGUAGAGGUAAUGGUUGUUCUGGUAGGGAUGAUGGUUCUGGUAGUGGUCAAUUUGGUGCUGAUAGGGGAGGUGAAAGAGGAAUUGGUAGAGGUCAAGGUGUUGCUGGUAGAAGUCAAGGUGCUGCUGAUAUCGGUAAAGGUUAUUCUGGUAGGGAUGAUAGUUCUGGUAGUGGAUAAUUUGAUGCUGAUAGGGGAGGUGAAGGAGGAAUUGGUAGAGGUCAAGGAGGGAGUGGUAGAGGAUUGCCAAGAAAAAUAGCCAAUGCAAGAGGGACCCCAUUUGAAAGUGGAAGAAAUGUUUCUUCCAGUCAAGUACCACCUUUGCCGACCAACAAGAGGUCAUACAAUGCUACCUCAUUUGUUGCUGCUACUGGAUACAAAAGGCCUGCAACUGGUUUUAGUGUUUACUCUGAUCCAGCAACUGGAAACCACGUG